AAAAUAAAAAUAAUAUACUAUAGGCUAUAUAUAUAUAUAUAUAUAUAUAGAGCAGUGUUGCUGUGCUCUCAGGAGCACGGAGGCCUCCGUGCUCCUGAGCCGUUUUCGAUGAUGAAAUUUUCGAAUCGACGAUCGCCUCCGUUAGACUUGAUCUAGCGCAUUUGAAGUUUCUAGAAAAUAAUUUUUGCGAUUUUUCGAUAUCAUUUACCUAGUGAUCGAAAUGAUUCAAAAUCUAUAAUUUUUAAUGGUUGAUAUCUGCCGUUUUCAAGUUUAACGGUGUAGAAGUAUUCAAAUCAGAUGGUGUAGAAGUAUUCAAAUCAGAUGAAAUUUUGAUAGAAAAUUUUUUAUACUAUCUACAACAAGAGCUAUAUUUCUGAUCGAAAAUUUUAGUGCUAUAUCACCACUUUUUAUAGGAUUUUUAUUUUCAGCCGUUAAAAAUUAUUGAUUUUGAAUCCUUUCGAUUGCUAGGUAAAUAAUAUCGAAAAAUCGCAAAAAUUAUUUUCUAGAAACUUUAAAUACGCUAGAUCAAGUUUAACGGAGCCGAUCGUCGAUUCGAAUGCUCCAUCAUCGAAAACGGCUCAGGUGCACGGAGACCUCCGUGCUCCUGAGAGCACAGCAGCCCUGCUCUAUAUAUAUAUAUAUAUAUAUUUAUUUAUUUAUUUAUUAUAAUGUCAAUUAUUACUUUAUAUAUUU
rnacentral:lncRNA from 1 species